GACGAACGCUGGCGGCGUGCUUAACACAUGCAAGUCGAACGGAAAGGCCCUGCUUUUGUGGGAUGCUCGAGUGGCGAACGGGGGAGUAACACGUGAGUAACCUGCCCUUGACUUUGGGAUAACUUCAGGAAACUGGGGCUAAUACCGGAUAUGAGCUCCUGCUGCAUGGUGGGGGUUGGAAAGAUUCGGCGGUUGGGGAUGGACUCGCGGCUUAUCAGCUUGUUGGUGGGGUAGUGGCUUACCAAGGCUUUGACGGGUAGCCGGCCUGAGAGGGUGACCGGCCACAUUGGGACUGAGAUACGGCCCAGACUCCUACGGGAGGCAGCAGUGGGGAAUAUUGCACAAUGGGCGGAAGCCUGAUGCAGCAACGCCGCGUGCGGGAUGACGGCCUUCGGGUUGUAAACCGCUUUCGCCUGUAACGAAGCGUGAGUGACGGUAAUGGGUAAAGAAGCACCGGCUAACUACGUG
rnacentral:rRNA from 1 species